rnacentral:rRNA from 1 species
UUAAUAUUAGUUAUGAAAUAUAUUUCAAGAAAUUUUAUAUCUAGUUUUUUAAGAGUAAAAGUUUAAUAGAAUAAUUUUUAUAAAAAUUAAUAUGGUUUAGCUUAUUAAUUUUAUAUACUGAUAGAAUUUUUUAACCUUAGUAAAUUUGAUAGUGUUUAUUUUAUAAAUUUAUAAUGGAGGGUAAUAUAAAUAAAAAUUUUUAUUUGUUAUUUUUUUAUUAAAAAAUUUAUUUAAAUUUUAGAGUUUUAUUUAUAAUGAAAAAAUUAGUAAAAAUUUAUUUAUAUUAGAAAAUAAUUAAUAAUUUAUAAUUGUUAUAAUUAUUAUAAAAAAUGAAUUCGGCAAAAAGUAUUAUUUGACUGUUUAGCAAAAACAUUGUUUCAUGAAGAAUAUAUGAAAUAAUGUCUGUCCACUGAUAUAUUUGAAGGACUGCAGUAUAUUGACUGUAUAAAAGUAGCAUAAUCAUUAUCUUUUUAUUUUGGGGUUGGUAUGAAGGCGAAACGGAUAAGUUCUUUAUUUUUUAUAAGUGUUUUAAGUUUAUUUUUAAGUGAAAAAUCUUAAUUAGAUGAGAGGGACAAGAAGACCCUCAUAAGUUUAAUUUUUCUUUUAUUUAUGUUAUAGGAAAAUUUAAUUAGAUAAUAUUACAUUAGAAAUUUGGUUGGGGCGAUUAGUUAUAAAACAUAAUUUAUUUAUAAUUUUU